rnacentral:rRNA from 1 species
AUUGAACGCUGGCGGCAGGCCUAACACAUGCAAGUCGAGCGGAUGAAGGGAGCUUGCUCCUGGAUUCAGCGGCGGACGGGUGAGUAAUGCCUAGGAAUCUGCCUGGUAGUGGGGGAUAACGUCCGGAAACGGGCGCUAAUACCGCAUACGUCCUGAGGGAGAAAGUGGGGGAUCUUCGGACCUCACGCUAUCAGAUGAGCCUAGGUCGGAUUAGCUAGUUGGUGGGGUAAAGGCCUACCAAGGCGACGAUCCGUAACUGGUCUGAGAGGAUGAUCAGUCACACUGGAACUGAGACACGGUCCAGACUCCUACGGGAGGCAGCAGUGGGGAAUAUUGGACAAUGGGCGAAAGCCUGAUCCAGCCAUGCCGCGUGUGUGAAGAAGGCCUUCGGAUUGUAAAGCACUUUAAGUUGGGAGGAAGGGCAGUAAGUUAAUACCUUGCUGUUUUGACGAUACCAACAGAAUAAGCACCGGCUAACUUCGUG